rnacentral:misc_RNA from 1 species
UCCCCGUUAUCCGGGGCGGUUUCGCCAGAGUGCCCAGCAUAACCUGAUGGCAACUGGCAAUAAGGGUUGCGCUCGUUGCGGGACUUAACCCAACAUCUCACGACACGAGCUGACGACAGCCAUGCAGCACCUAUGCAGCACCCCUUGCGGGAAGGGAUGUUUCCACCCCGAUGCACUGCAUUUCGAGCCCAGGUAAGGUUCUUCGCGUUGCGUCGAAUUGAACCACAUGCUCCACCGCUUGUGCGGGCCCCCGUCAAUUCCUUUGAGUUUCAGUCUUGCGACCGUACUCCCCAGGCGGAUUGCUUAUCGCGUUAGCUUCGGCACAUUGGGAUUGGGUACCCAAUACACCAAGCAAUCAUCGUUUAGGGCUAGGACUAC